CCCCUCUCAAGGUCGCACCUGGAGAGUUUCCAACACUCUACCAGACAUGACUAGAGGAGGGAGAGUCAAGCAGAGGCAUACCCAUUCUAUUCCUAGCUAGGUCAGUGGCUAGCAAGGGGAAGGCAAUCUGCUACAAAU